AUCUAGCUGAUGAGUCUCAAAUAGGAUGAAAACGUGAGUCUUGGAU
rnacentral:hammerhead_ribozyme from 1 species